rnacentral:ncRNA from 1 species
GUGGCCUAACGAUCCUUUAUGUGCGGCGCGCUUCCGCCUAGAGGUGUCAGAAAAGUUACCACAGGGAUAACUGGCUUGUGGCAGCCAAGCGUUCAUAGCGACGUUGCUUUUUGAUCCUUCGAUGUCGGCUCUUCUCAUCAUUGCGUUGCAGUAGGCCCAAAGUGUUAGAUUGUUCACCUAUAAACGAGGAACGUGAGCUGGGUUUAGACCGUCGUGAGACAGGUUAGUUUUACCCUACUUUCGGUUGUCUUUGUUGACGCUACUCGGAUUAAGUACGAGAGGAACUACCCGGGGGAGCAUUUGGUUCAUGGGUUCGUCGAACGACGAGGGCCCAGACGCUACGCUCCAUGCGCUAAAUCCUGAAAGCCUCUAAGGAUGAAGCGUCGGCGAACAUGGCAAAGAUCUCUGCUGGGGGGU